CCUACGGGUGACAGCAGUGAGGAAUAUUGGUCAAUGGGCGCUAGCCUGAACCAGCCAAGUAGCGUGAGGGAUGACUGCCCUAUGGGUUGUAAACUUCUUUUAUAUGGACAUAAAAUGCCGUAUGUAUACUACUUUGCAGCUACCUAAUGCAUAAGGAUAGGCUAACUACGUGCCAGCAGCCGCGGUAUUACGGAGGAUCCGGGCGUUAUCCGGAUUUUUUGGGUUUAAAGGGAGCGUAGGCGGUUUGGUAAGUCAGUUGUGAAAGUUUGCGGCUCAACCGUAAAAUUGCAGUUGAUACUGGCAUCCUUGAGUACAGUAGAGGUAGGCGGAAUUCGUGGUGUAGCGGUGAAAUGCUUAGAUAUCACGAAGAACUCCGAUUGCGAAGGCAGCCUGCUGGACUGUAACUGACGCUGAUGCUCGAAAGUGUGGGUAUCAAACAGGAUUAGAUACCCGUGUAGUC
rnacentral:rRNA from 1 species